rnacentral:rRNA from 1 species
AUUGAACGCUGGCGGCAGGCCUAACACAUGCAAGUCGAGCGGAUGAAGGGAGCUUGCUCCUGGAUUCAGCGGCGGACGGGUGAGUAAUGCCUAGGAAUCUGCCUGGUAGUGGGGGAUAACGUCCGGAAACGGGCGCUAAUACCGCAUACGUCCUGAGGGAGAAAGUGGGGGAUCUUCGGACCUCACGCUAUCAGAUGAGCCUAGGUCGGAUUAGCUAGUUGGUGGGGUAAAGGCCUACCAAGGCGACGAUCCGUAACUGGUCUGAGAGGAUGAUCAGUCACACGGGAACUGAAACCGGGUCCAGCCUCCUCCGGGAGGCAGCAGGGGGGAUUUUUGGACAAGGGGCGAAAGCCUGACCCAGCCAUGCGGGGUGGGUGAAGAAGGUCUUCGGAUUGUAAAGCACUUUAAUUUGGGAGAAAGGGCAGUAAGUUAAUACCUUGCUGUUUUGACGUUACCAAAAGAAUAAGCACCGGCUAACUUCGUG